AUGAUCAUACAUGAGAAGAAACCUUCUUGGGUAUAUACUUUAUUUAGUUUUUUUAAUUGCUCAGUGCUCAUUGAUCUUUAUUUAUGCUUCACUCUUUUUUUCCUAGAGCAUUGUGAAUUUGAUUUUUGGGUUUGGUCACUAGGAAGAACAUUAUUCUUUUGUAGGUUGGUGGUAAUGGACACUAUCGUUAUUGUUAAUUCAGGGCGUUGUGUUGAUUUCAUUGGUGUGGAUUUUGUUCCCAUUGAGGUCGUACAGGUUGGCGUCAUUACUAAUUUUCUUGAUGCACAUGAGGUUCUGCCACCAGCUGGAUGA
rnacentral:rRNA from 1 species